AAGCACAACUACAACAGAUUGAGUUUUAGAAUGAAUGAUUGCAAGAAAGUGGCCAGUUAUCCACAGCACUAUGACUAAGCCUAUCCUACGUACAACACCAAUUAAACACAAUGAGAUGGGGAGAAGAUAUUAAACAGACUGACAGACUGGUAGGCAGACAGCAGGCAGACAGCAGACAGGUUAUAUUAAUCAGCCCUUUCAAAAGUAUGGACAAGAAAAAACUUUCGUAUGAUUUUCCUUUAUGAGUACAAAGAAAGGAAGAAUGUUUCUGAAACUGCGUGAGGCAUCAACCAAGCACUUGGCCAAGGAUCAGUUCCUGUUCACACAGU
rnacentral:lncRNA from 1 species